GGAUGUCCACACCGUGAAAGCAACCUAUGGUCGGUGUCCUCUCUGCAGUCCCUGAAAACACUGACUAUAACCAUGGAAUGGAGCUGGGUCGUUCUCUUUCUCCUGUCAGUAACUACAGGUGUCCACACACAGGUCCAGCUACAGCAGUCUGGGGCUGAGCUGGUGAAGCCUGGGUCUUCAGUGAAGCUGUCCUGCAAGGCUUCUGGUUACACCUUCAUUAACUACUAUAUGCACUGGGUAAAGCAGAGACCUGGACAGGGCCUGGAAUGGAUAGGAUGGAUUGAUCCUGAAGAUGGUCGUACUGGAUACAAUGAGAAAUUCAAAGGCAAGGCCACAAUGACUGCAGACACAUCCUCCAGCACAGCCUACAUGCAACUCAGCAGCCUGACUUCUGAGGACUCUGCCGUCUAUUACUGUGCAAGACACAGUAUUGUAACCACAUCCUGGGUGUGUCAGAAACCCUGGAGAAGCAGGAAGCUGCACUAGGACUGAGAUGGCUUAAAAAAUAAUCUUUAGACCUUCUCAGAAAUUCCAAUUUUGGAUAUUUAUUUAUUGCUUUCUCCUCAUAGUCCUACAGUCCUUUUGUCAUCUUUGUAAAUGCCUAUCUAUUAAUAAAGUGAUGCUGGACAAGGAUGAACCUAGAGUUUACCAUACCUUGUCAAUCUCUUCACCAAUGA